rnacentral:piRNA from 1 species
UGGGGAUGUCAUGUCUAAAACAGCCUG